rnacentral:rRNA from 1 species
UGUGUAGGUGGCUGAGCAAGUCGUUGAUGAAAUCCCGAGGCUUACCCUCGGAACUGUCACCGAAACUGCUCAGCUUGAGGAUAGUUGAGGAGAACGGAAUUCCCGGUGGAGCGGUGAAAUGCGUAGAUAUCGGGAGGAACACCAGAGGCGAAGGCGGUUCUCUGGGCUAUUCCUGACACUGAAACACGAAAGCUAGGGGAGCAAACG